rnacentral:rRNA from 1 species
UGGAAACUGUNUGACUUGAGUGCAGAAGGGGAGAGUGGAAUUCCAUGUGUAGCGGUGAAAUGCGUAGAUAUAUGGAGGAACACCAGUGGCGAAAGCGGCUCUCUGGUCUGUCACUGACGCUGAGGCUCGAAAGCGUGGGUAGCGAACAGGAUUAGAUACCCUGGUAGUNCACGCCGUAAACGAUGAGUGCUAGGUGUUAGGCCCUUUCCGGGGCUUAGUGCCGGAGCUAACGCAAUAAGCACUCCGCCUGGGGAGUACGACCGCAAGGUUGAAACUCAAAGGAAUUGACGGGGGCCCGCACAAGCGGUGGAGCAUGUGGUUUAAUUCGAAGCAACGCGAAGAACCUUACCAGGUCUUGACAUCCCGAUGCUAUUCUUAGAGAUAGGAAGUUACUUCGGUACAUCGGAGACAGGUGGUGCAUGGUUGUCGUCAGCUCGUGUCGUGAGAUGUUGGGUUAAGUCCCGCAACGAGCGCAACCCUUAUUGUUAGUUGCCAUCAUUAAGUUGGGCACUCUAGCGAGACUGCCGGUAAUAAACCGGAGGAAGGUGGGGAUGACGUCAAAUCAUCAUGCCCCUUAUGACCUGGGCUACACACGUGCUACAAUGGUCGGUACAACGAGUUGCGAGCCGGUGACGGCAAGCUAAUCUCUGAAAGCCGAUCUCAGUUCGGAUUGGAGGCUGCAACUCGCCUCCAUGAAGUCGGAAUCGCUAGUAAUCGCGGAUCAGCACGCCGCGGUGAAUACGUUCCCGGGCCUUGUACACACCGCCCGUCACACCACGAGAGUUUGUAACACCCGAAGUCGGUGAGGUAACCUUUUAGGGGCCAGCCGCCUAAGGUGGGA